AGUGAACGCUGGCGGUAGGCCUAACACAUGCAAGUCGAACGGCAGCACAGUAAGAGCUUGCUCUUCGGGUGGCGGGUGGCGGGCGGGGGGGGGAUACAUCGGGAUCUACUUUUUCGGGGGGGGUAACGGAGGGAAACUUACGCUAAUACCGCAUAAGACCUACGGGUGAAAGCAGGGGAUCUUCGGACCUUGCGCGGUUGAAUGAGCCGAUGUCGGAUUAGCUAGUUGGCGGGGUAAAGGCCCACCAAGGCGACGAUCCGUAGCUGGUCUGAGAGGAUGAUCAGCCACACUGGAACUGAGACACGGUCCAGACUCCUACGGGAGGCAGCAGUGGGGAAUAUUGGACAAUGGGCGCAAGCCUGAUCCAGCCAUACCGCGUGGGUGAAGAAGGCCUUCGGGUUGUAAAGCCCUUUUGUUGGGAAAGAAAAGCAGCAGGUUAAUACCCCGCUGUUCUGACGGUACCCAAAGAAUAAGCACCGGCUAACUUCGUG
rnacentral:rRNA from 1 species